AGCAGCAUGGUGUAUUCUGCACACGGGGUCUCUUUAGUCAGAUCCACACAAAAUCACCCCGAGGUCCUUGUUCAAAUCAAGGUGCUGCUC